rnacentral:rRNA from 1 species
GGACGAACGCUGGCGGCGUGCUUAACACAUGCAAGUCGAACGGAAAGGCCCUGCUUUUGUGGGGUGCUCGAGUGGCGAACGGGUGAGUAACACGUGAGUAACCUGCCCUUGACUUUGGGAUAACUUCAGGAAACUGGGGCUAAUACCGGAUAGGAGCUCCUGCUGCAUGGUGGGGGUUGGAAAGUUUCGGCGGUUGGGGAUGGACUCGCGGCUUAUCAGCUUGGUGGUGGGGUAGUGGCUUACCAAGGCUUUGACGGGUAGCCGGCCUGAGAGGGUGACCGGCCACAUUGGGACUGAGAUACGGCCCAGACUCCUACGGGAGGCAGCAGUGGGGAAUAUUGCAUAAUGGGCGGAAGCCUGAUGCAGCAACGCCGCGUGCGGGAUGACGGCCUUCGGGUUGUAAACCGCUUUCGCCUGUGACGAAGCGUGAGUGACGGUAAUGGGUAAAGAAGCACCGGCUAACUACGUG